GGGGUUCAUUUUUUUAUUCUACUAGAUUCUCACUAUAUAUUGCUAGAUAUCACUGGUGGAUCAUGAGAACUCACUAAGAUUAUUUUCAGAUCAAUGACUUUGUUGAGGUGAGUUGGAAUUGUUUCAGCCUAUCGAAAAGAGUUUCGAUGAUAUUGUGAUGGAGAUUACGGUAUAUCUCACUACCAGACCAAAUAAAACCUGAGGGGUCACACAAAAAAAAAGCAUGACUUGAUCAAUGGCUUGGAUCAUAUUUAAAUUAUCAAUCAGAUUGAUAGUUUGAAUUUUAGAAACUGCUAAAUUGUAAGCGUUACAGUUUUGGCAGCUACUAAUUGUUAGCACAGA
rnacentral:lncRNA from 1 species